CUGAUACUUCCGGUCAGAGACGCCACUCGACCGGGUAAAUAAAUAACCUAGUGAUCAGGCCAUAGAAGACAAUCGGUAAGAUGCAUUGUGAUGACAACUCUGUUAUAAAUGACAUUAAAUGUCAUGUUAAAACAUGAUUAAAAAAGACAUUCAAGAUGCCUCCUUAUAUUAACCGUAACUAAACCGUUCGCCCUUGGCCUUGUGAUAAAUUAUCAAAGAUCGACACUUAAAAAAUGAGAGAUAUGUUUUUGCCAAAUUGCAAAUGACACAACUGUCCAUCAGAAACCUAAGGACGAGUAUGUCAACAACUGCAAGUUACCCUAUGGUCCACAACAAAAUGCAAGUCAUAUUGAUUCAUUUAUAAGGACUAGAGUAUAAAUAUGACCUAUACCUGCCAACCCUCCUGUUUAGAGCCAGAGACUCAGCUCAAAUGGUGAGAUUAGGGAAAUCUCCCCCUUACCUGUACCCUCCCGAACAUGAAUAUUGAAUCUCCCGCUUUUGGAUAUUUUAACCAUGAAUGACAAGCUAAGUCAACAUUAAUUACUUUUGUGUCAAUGAUAAAGGUUGUUGUUACAUGACAUACCUGUAAAUCACUGACCAUUUGAAAUUAGAUGGCUUUACUUGACAGCUUGGGUUUCAAACAUAGUACUAAUUAACAAUCAUUAACGACUUUUGCUUCAAGCUUUGUUUUAUUCAAACACUUCAUAGAUAUUUCAGGUUAAUUUCCCUGUUUAAUCCUGUUUUAAGUUACCCUUCUAAUAUAAUAAUACUUUAUUCUAUAUAAAAGCAAAAAAUACUGAUAUAGUAUGGUAUUGCCCAAUAUCAUAAAAUCUUGAAUUGCACAAUAGCAAGAACUCUUCACGUAGCAUUGGGCAAUAGCACCAAUAGCACACUAUUGCACAAUAGCAAGAAUCUUUCAAUUGUAAAGUAUUGCCCAAUAGCACAGUAUUGCGCUGUAGCACAGUAUUGCACAAUAUCAUAGUAUUGGGCAAUAGCAAGAAAUCUUCAAUUAAAUAUUAAUACAAAUAUUUUAACCCAUUUCAAAUUUUAAUAAUCUUUCACCACAUUAAUUUUGUGUCAGAAACCUACAGUAUACGUGUAGUUUGCAUCUGCUUCUUUUUAAGUUAAAACACUUACAUUGUACAGUUGUUUAAUAUGUGGGUCUUUUUUAUGCUGAGGCUGCCAAAAGUAAAUAUGCUGGUAGACUAAUACAGAUAGUAUGUCUAUAUAUAUAUAUAGCUAUCAUACAUGUAUUGACAGGUGUAUUGCUUAUUAGCUAUCAUACAUGUAUUGACAGGUGUAUUGCUUAGUCUAACAUUAAGUAUUUUACAAAAUGUAUGUUCAAAAUGCCAAGUACUAUGAUAUCCAUGUACACAUAUGUCCUGUAAAUUAAUUGAACUCCUUGCUAUUUAUUUAAAUCCUGAUAAGUGAUAAGUUUCAAAAUUACACAGCUUUUUCAUGACAUCCCAAAUCAGUUGAUGGGAAAACCAAUUUAUUGUAUGUACAUAAAACUUUUCAAAGAGACAUGUUUAAAUAAUUGUUUAAGUCAUAUGAAACGAGUGACUGGUGAAAAAUAAUGUUAAUCCAAUUCUUGAAGCAAUGCAUGUACAUGUAUAUAUCAUAAACUUAGUCUUCUGUACACAAUUUUAUAAUUUUUUACACAAAUAUAUAGUAUAAUUGUUUUCUCUCUCUCUCUGUUAUGAUUUAGCAAAUAUGGCAGCUCAUUAAAUGCUGUGAUUUGACUCUGAAGUUUACCGAUUGUCACCUUAUAGUAAACAUUCAACAAAAAAGAAUGGAUAUUGAGCACACGUUUACAUGUACAAUCAGAUAAUAGUUUAUUUCAGUGAAAAAUCCAUGCAUAUUGCGAUCUACAGAUUUUUACGAGAAGGUUCACGCUAAGGUCACUUUGCACACGGAAAAUAUGUCGGCGAAUUGCUUCCUGAAAGCAGCAAUUAAAAAAAAGUAAACUUCUUCUAAAUGUGUACAAAUUAAAGAAUUUUCUUCAGAAAAAAAGUAUAUGUACAUAUAAGUUAAAUAAUGACAACUAUCCAUUUUGUUAUAAAAAAUAUAUUUUAGUAUGGCGUCCAUUAUCACUGUACUAUUAUGCAUAUUUUAGGGGCCAGCUGAAGGACACCUACGGGUGCGGGAAUUCUCGCUACAUUGAAGACCCAUUGGUUGCCUUCGGCUGUUGUUUGCUCUAUGGUCGGGUGGUUGUCGCUUUGACAUAUUCACCAUUUCCUUUCUCAAUUUUAUUAUGCAUCAUUUUUUUUUUUAAUUUGAGGUUUCAUAUGACUUUAAAGUUUCUAUAAACAGCAUUUUUAUGACUUUUCUUUAUUUGAAACAAAAAUGUCUCCCUCAGAUCAUUACUAGUGGCCUGUGUUUUUGCAAAACUUGAUCCAAACAAGAAGUUGUUUUAGUAACUGUUCUAUUUUGGAAUAAGGUCAAUGAUAGAGAAAUUGAAGAAAUGUGAUCAAUAGACUUUUUUAGUCAUUGAACAAAGACUGACAAAGAACAGAUCAGAUUUUGUAAUUUGAGGGGAUUUGAAGUGAACCUUAUAAAAGACUUUGUCAUGCCUCGUAUUUGUCAAUGAAAUUGCUGAUAUUUUUUCGUUUAAAGAUCAACCUUUAAUCAACUGUCAAGUACAUUUACAUACUUUGAAGUGAAAAUAUACUUUUGUUUAAUUGAUCAUUGACAUUGAAUUUACAACAAUUGUCAAAAUGUGUUAUAAUCCAUUAAUGAUAUAAAAUUUUACUUUAUAUUACCAGUGUUUGAAGUGGUAUAUAAUAACACUCAUAAGAAGAUUUUAAAAAAUAAUACUAGCAAUACAUCAAUAAUUAUAAGCCUAUAAGGGACGACAUCAAAAGAUCGAUGUAGGAUAAAAAACUUAAAUUAAAUAGUUUGGGGGUGGGGGUCAACAUUGCUUCAAGUUUUGUUAAUCUAAAAGCGAUUUUACAUAUAUCCCUAUUGGUCUGACAAUAAAUUUUUCCCAAAUUAAGUUAAGAGGGAGGGGGGGUCAGUGAAAAAACUAUGUGAAUUAAGUUUUUUAUCCUUCUGAAGGAACUUCUUUGAUGUCGUCCCUAACAUUCAUUGAUUCAAAAUUAUGAAUCUUCAUUAAAAUAUUUAAAUUUUUAUGUUUUUCCAACCUUUAUGAUGUACAUUUUUGUACUCAACACAAAAUAUCUUGUUUUAAUUCCAUGAUGUAUGUAGCAAGUUCUAUAACACAUGUGUAACUAUUUUUUUCUGAAAUAGUCCUAUCAGUGAUGAUUUUUUUCAACAUGUUCAAGUAAUGAAAUCAGAAAUGUUGUACAUUUGUUGUACUUAUAAAUUUGUUAAAUAGAUUUUUAGCUCACCUACAUAUAUACAAAAAGUUAACAGGGCUGAAAUAGUCAGUCCACUCCUUACUUAAUUAAAGUUAAUGCUCUUUUAGUCACGAUUUUACCAAUUUUUUGCAUUGCCUUUUUGUCUUAUAUUUUAAAAAUUAUAAUAGAUAGACAGAAACUUAAAUGAUUAAAAAUGAUCAGACAGUAAAACAAGAUAUUCAAGUAAAACAAUAUGCCCUUUUAUGACGAUUUUUACCAUUUAUUUUUUGCAUUUUGUCCAUUUUUAACUGAUAAAGAUCAGCAACCAUAAUGUAUAAAACAUACAUGUCCAUUACUGUAACACAAGUCUAUUUUGUUAAGAAAACAUAUAGAGUGGGGCGCUCAUAUUCGCCGUGGACACAAUUUCGCCGUUUUAUGAUUUUGAGGUGUAAAAACUUCAAAGGAUGGUUGAAAUGGAAGAAAUAUGCCGGUAAAUUAUAUUUUUAUAACAAAUAUGAUUAUUUUUGAAAAUGAGACUAAAUUUCGGCACUUACCGCAAAGGACCGAAAAAUGGACAACGAUUUUCAGCCAAUUUCCUGAAUGAAAAAAACGAUUUAAAAGAAGUAUUUCUUAGUAAUUCUGUGACUUGUUGCCCUAAACUUCAGUUUUUUUUACACCUUUCAAAUGUCUGCUAUUCAUCUAUAAUGAAAUUUAUUUGAUAAAUAUUGUUUAAAGCUGCAAUUAUUUGGUUUAAAUUAGAUGUGUAAAAACGGCGAAUAUGUGUCCCCCGUUGACAAAACAUUAGGAAAUUUCAAACACCCUUUAAUCCAACUUUUCAGAUGAUUUUUCUCAAAACAAACACGUUUUAAAGCUAAGAAUAUUUUGCAUGUGAAGUUAUCUUCAUAUAGAAAUAUCAGUAUACUUCAAAAACAUAAAGACCUGAACAUAAACCGAAGAAAACAUGGAAAGAUAUGGCGAAAAUGAGCACCCCACUCUAAUUUUGGAAAUUCUGAAGAAUUUAUACUGUGAACAUCAACAGUUUUACGAAAAAAUCUCAUACUCUUGCCUGCAAUAAAUGUAUCUUUUGAACCAGAAAUGUAUGUUCAUCUGUUAUAAUUAUUUUAAUAAUGUCCCAUAGGUGAUAUUGACACCACCAGUUGUACAGUUGUUUAAAUGUGAAAGCCUUUCUUUUUUUUUUUUUUUUUAAAGUUUUGUGAGUGACAAGUAUGUAUGUAUGUAUAUGUGAUUGAUUGAUUGAUUAGUUAUUUCUUACAUGUAAUGUCCAGUUGGGAUGUACAUUGUACAUUUGUGAGCAAGAAACUUUAGAUGAAGAUUUUGCAAAUUAUAAAAGCAAUACAUUUUUUCAUAGACUGAAAAAGAACCCCAAAAUAAUAAUAUUCAAUACUGGUAUUUCAAACAAUAUACAUGCAUAUCAUAAAGCAACUCUGCAUUGUAAAUUUGUUAUUUCCUUUAAAGAAGUGUUUUGGAAAUCUAGGACAUCUUAAUGAGGCUUCUGUAUGUGUACAUAAUGUCUAAUAGACAUCCCUGAUUUGACCUUUACUACAAGUCUGAUCAGUUCUGGACAGUAAUUUUACUUUAGAUGUUUGUAAAUAUUGGUUUUUACCCACAAGUGUAUUGAUUUUAUUUGAAAACUUUUCUUCAAAACCUUAAACAAACAAAAGAAAUACAGUUUUGAUGGUUUUAUUGAAUAGAAGCUAAACAUUACCUAAGCAGGGUUUAUUAACUUUGUUUUAAAUGUACUUUAACUUAAAAUAACAACAUGAAUGGAGAAAAUGGUGGUGGUAAAUUUUGUGGCAAAACCAUCUUGUGCAUUCAUCAAAAAUAUUUCCUAUAAAAAAGUUUGACAUGUAGAAGAAAAGAGUUUACAGGUUGUUCAACUUUUAACAGUCUGCAUAUUUUUCAUUGAGGUAAAAAAAAAUACCAUAUAGAUGAUGUGGAUUUGACAAAUCCCUCCUUCAAGGUCUAUGGAAACUUGACUACUUCAGAGUCACUUUUGUCAAACAUUUUAGAAUUUGAAACAAUAACUGAAAGGACAAGGUUCACUUAUGGCACAAAAUGGCCUCAAAUAUCAACUUUAUCAUAAAACACCCAAAAGGUCUCAAUUAUGUUCUUAAAUGGGUCUUUUUCAAAAGUCUUAAUGCUAAAUAUAUCAAUUCUUUUCAUAAGAGUACAAAAUAUUCUCCAAAGUAUGCCCAUUUUAGACGUUUUGUCAAAAUAUGAUGAUUUCGUUCAUUUUUCAGACCUAAAAGCUUUAGAAACACAUUGGCUGCCACCUACGAUCCAAAAUGUGUUGUAACCAAAAGGUUCCAAUUUUGAUAUAGAUUUCAUCGAUAUAAAAACAUUUUGGAUCGUAGAUGGCGGCCAGAGUUAAUUAUGCCAAAAACAAUUAAAAUUAUGGGAAAAAAGUACCAAAAUUAACCUUUUAAUACAAAUUUCUUUAUAAGGGGUCAUAGCUCCAUAAAUUAUAAAGGAAAGUGCCAGAAAAAAUAUUUUUGUCUUACUAGCAUUAUCACUAGUAUUUCUAUGUGAAAUUUGUAAAUUUUUGGCCCGAUUUAAAAAAACAUAAAAAAAUCAGGGCCAAUUUUAACCCUUUUUGAACCUUCUCCUUUGACUAUGCCAGUAUUCACUGAUACAUUUCAUAUUUGUCUUUAGAUUUUAGAAAUGUGAAUUUUCACAGUAAACUGACUCUGUUAAUAAUGAUGAAUAACCUUUAAAACUCUAUCAGACACUGUGGAUAUAUUUAUUUUUGUUAGUACCAAUUUUCAUGGAUGUUUAAUCUCAUUGGUUUUGCAAUGUCUGCAUACAUCUCUUAAGAAGAAUUGUAAUUCCUUGAACAUUUAAAUCGAUGGUUCCCCUGUACCAAUGGAAUUCAAGAAUAUUAAUGAGUCCACCCUAGUUACAUGUAGUAGAUAGACUUCACCUGUCUUAAUUAAGGUGGUACCUAACACUACAGGGAGAUAACUCUGUAAAAUCAACUAAACGUUUUAAUUAUGUUGUGUUGUUAAGGGAAUAUUAAGCUUCUCAAUGAUCAAAAUAAGUGUUUGUCAAACUGCUAUAUAACCAGUGUAAUUUUUCUGAUAAAACGGUUGGUUCAAAUUUUUUGAAAUUUUUAUAUUUUUGUAAAAGGGUCAAAGUAAAUACUUUGUCAAAAUUUUAUGAAAAUUAAACGAGCCAAAUUAAUUUUAGUUAAAGUGUUGGGUACCUCCUUAAAGUGCCAUUAGCUACAGGAUUUAAAGAAAAUUAAAAAUGAUUAUUUUUGUUCAAUCAUUAAAGAAAGUGUCAUAGUGAAAUAAUAAUUCACAUAAAUUAGAAGCAAGUUUGGUUCAAUUUAGUAAAAAUAAGCUAAGAAAUAUUACUGUGGAAUUAUUCAUUUGCAAGUGAAUUAUUAAAUCUCAUUGAAUCCAUAUUCACCUGACUUUCAAUUAACCCCAUACAUGUAGUUAGAGAUGGGUUAUGAAUGAAUACGGCGUGUUCAGUUAUUAAAAGGAAAAAAAUGUCAACAUUGAAAGUGAAACAAUUGCAAGGGUAAAUAUUUGAUUGACUGAUUUGAUCCUCAAAAACUCAUUCUUUAACAAUAGGUAAAAAGGAUGAUGCUGAUACAUUAUCAAGCCCCUUUAUGUUUUGUCAACUACAAAUGUUGGCGAGUGUUAAUUUUUGCUUAUUCAUGUACACCUAGGUGUGUGACACUAGCUCUUUAGAGCCUCUAGUUUUCUUUGUUCAAAUUAUAUACCAGUCACAAUAAAGUUUUCAAGAUUAGAUCUCCUUCUAAUUUACUCUUAGUAAUAGGCCAAUUACAAUUUUGUCUAUAGAUCUUUUGUUCAAUCUAUCUGACAAUUUGACCUUGAACUUAUUUUCAGGUUUCAUUGAUCCACAUUGAGCUUUUUGAUAUAUAUUUAGUCAGCUCUUUCUUUCCAAGACUAUCAAUAUAUUUAAUGGUUGCUAGUUAUUGUCAAUUAAGCAGACAAGAUCAUUCCACCUGUCCACUAAAGUGCAAAUUACCAGUACUGAGUAGUAUUGGUGGUGUAGUACUGAGUAGUAAUUGUGGUGUAGAAAAGAUUUGAUAUAUAGACCUAGCAAACCAGAUUUCCAACUAAAAACUAAUUUCUCUAACUCUUCGUGAAUUUAUCCCUUACUGAACCCAUUGUAUAAAAAAAUUUAAUCAACGUGUGGUUGGUUUGAUCUCAGUUCAUCAUUGGUUAAAAUCCGAUUAUGACGUUGAAUGUUCUUGCAUUCCUCUGAAUAUCCUAUUGUGACGGCAUGAAAAAAGGCAACCAUGCCUGAUGACGUCACAUAGAAAGAACACAUCUUUUUGCAGAUCAUUCGUAAAGAAGGUAUAUGUUUGCCUGCGUAUUGUUAGAAAAUCAUUAGAGAAACAGAUUCCACCACAAAAUAUCGUGUAAUACGAUAUUUAUCCACUCUCGACAGUUAAAUUUUAAAUAUUUAAAACGCUCGGCGAGCCUCACGUUUUAAAUUUGAAAAUUUAACUGCAUCGAGUGGAUAAAUAUUGUAUUACACUCGAUGCAGUGGUAGAAUCUAUAUGUAACCGUCUAUAGAACUGUUAUAUAUAUAUUUAUGGUAACCACCUAUUUAUAUAUAGUUGUUUUACCCAACAAUGGGUUACUGCUUUUAUAUGACAGUGAUUCAUUUCUGUACAUGUAUAUAUGUAAUAUGUACAUGUACAUUAAUUAAAAAGUGAUAUGUGGUAUAAUUGCAAAUGAAUCAACUAUCUACCAGAGUUCAAAAGACAAAGAUAUUAGCAAUACUACUUUUUUGCCUACGGAAAAAAUCUGUCAGCAAGGAAUCAUUAUAGUCUGCUACUGUUGCAGGAAAGGACGAAGUUGUCAUGAUACAUACAUGAUGCAUAUAUAUAUAUAUAUAUAUAUACAACUCGUCUAAACAUCAACCCAACAAUGUUAGAUCUGUAAAUUUGCUUUCGCAAAUUUUUGGUUCUUCCCUCGCCGGGAUUCGAACCCAUGCUACUGUGAUAUCGUGACACCAAAUCGCCUGCACUGCAGCCGUCCCGCUAGACACACGACCACCUGGGCUCUCAAUAAAGAGCUUUCGGUGGGCAUGUGUUACCUUUCCACGUCAGUUUUAAUCUAGCGGCGUACUACAGUACAUGAUAUAUAAGGCAUGAAGAUGUUAUUGUUACAGAUCAGCUAAGUUAUCUAUAGUAAAGGAUCCUACAAAAUUAUGUAAGAUACAGUCACAGAAAAUAAUUAUAUUCAUAAGUACGUCUGAGUCAGUGACAACCCUACAACAGAUGUAUCCAUCGGAUCGCCAUCCAUGAUGGUGAUACAUGGCUGUGUACAUAAUGUAUAUACAAACUCGUCUAAACAUCAACCCAACAAUGUUAGAUCUGUAAAUUUGCUUUCGCAAAUUUUUGGUCUUCCUCGCCGGGAUUCGAACCCAUGCUACUGUGAUAUCGUGACACCAAAUCGCCUGCACUGCAGCCGUCCCGCUAGACCACACGACCACCUGGGCUCUCAAUAAAAGAGCUUUCGGUGGGCAUGUGUUACCUUUCCACGUCAGUUUUAAUCUAGCGGCGUACUACAGUACAUGAUAUAUAAGGCAUGAAGAUGUUAUUGUUACAGAUCAGCUAAGUUAUCUAUAGUAAAGGAUCCUACAAAUUAAUGUAAGAUACAGUCACAGAAAAUAAUUAUAUUCAUAAGUACGUCUGAGUCAGUGACAACCCUACAACAGAUGUAUCCAUCGGAUCGCCAUCCAUGAUGUAGUACGCCGCUAGAUUAAAACUGACGUGGAAAGGUAACACAUGCCCACCGAAAGCUCUUUUAUUGAGAGCCCAGGUGGUCGUGUGGUCUAGCGGGACGGCUGCAGUGCAGGCGAUUUGGUGUCACGAUAUCACAGUAGCAUGGGUUCGAAUCCCGGCGAGGGAAGAACCAAAAAUUUGCGAAAGCAAAUUUACAGAUCUAACAUUGUUGGUUGAUGUUUAGACGAGUUGUAUAUAACAUUAAUGUACACAGCCAUGUAUCACCAUCAUGGAUGGCGAUCCGUGGAUACAUCUGUUGUAGGGUUGUCAUGACUCAGACGUACUUAUAUAUAUAAAUAUAUAUAUAACCAACAAUGUUAGAUCUGUAUUGCUUAUACUUGUAUACAAAAAAGAAAAAUAUAAAACCACAUUGUAAGGUCUGUGUAUCUUGACAACCUAACUAGCAGAAUUGUAGUCUUAAAAUGAAUUACAGGCAUAUAGUGAAGACAGCAAAUUAUGCAAAUUAGAAGUGUUUUGAGAUUAUAUAAAGAAUACUUUAAAUGUAAGACUUAAACUCUUGGAGCUAAAAACGAUAAAUAUUUAUUCCAAAGAUACUUUUUAUACACCCACAUCACACAUUUAUUUAAAUGGCAUUCAUUGUUUUGACUGAAUCAACUAUCUGAAAUAAAAAACCAAAUAAAUUUCAAUGUUUAUCAUUUACACAAUGUUGGAUAAACAUGCAUUAGGUGUUAGAAUCAGUCAAACAAAUGUAUUGCCGUGUUUUAAUUAAAAGCGUAAUCAAAUACAAAUAGUAGAUUUAUAAAAGGGCCUGUAGCGAUAAUCUCUGUGCAAAGAAUCAAUACAAUGUUGUCUUUAUUUCAGUUGGAGAAGAAAGGUGGAGAGAACAGCAUGUUUUAUCAACUCGUAAUUAUAUAUUGACCGCCAACAAGGAUUUUUAAAUUCAGGAAAUUGUGAUUAAAGCGUAGAAAGCAACGAUAAAGGAAUGGCAUAGUUUCACAUCU
rnacentral:lncRNA from 1 species